rnacentral:tRNA from 1 species
GCCGGGAUGGCGGAAUUGGUAGACGCACGGGACUCAAAAUCCCGCGCCGCAAGGCGUGCCGGUUCGAUUCCGGCUCCCGGCACCA